UAAAGAGAAGUUUAUAUUUAUAUGGAUGAGCAGAUUUGUGGAAGCCUCAUCACAGUGAGGUGAAGAUGCAGAGCUUUGGAGAUAAAAGGCAAGAGCCUUGAACUGGUGAACUUGGAGUCCAGCAAAGAAGUGGUAUUUUAAGCUUAAUGAAGAAGCUCAUCGACUUUGUGACGUAGGAGAGUUUCUCUGUCGCGAUCGCGUCACUUGUGUCUCUCAACACUGGCUGUGUGACGGAGAACCCGACUGUCCUGACGAUUCAGAUGAGUCUUUAGACACAUAAAAUAGAAAGCUGGAAAAUCUCCUACCCAGACAAGGGGAAUGUGAGUUUUCCUGUGCAGAGAAGGGUGCGAAGACACGUAUGAAAUGGGMCCUGAGGGCUCAGUUCCACAGAAGCAGCUCACGGCCUUCACAAACUACUGUUUUUGACUUAUAUAUUCAAAGAGUCCAAAUCUAAGCUGUUUUGGAAGGGGUCACUCAUAAUUUCUGAGAAAUGAUAAAUAUCCUAAAGUCUCCCUUUU